AAUUUUUUUACUGCAGUGGAUUGUUUUACACGUUUGUUUGUAAUAUUUAAAUGCCUGCGCUAUGUGCUCUAUUAUUGGUCCGCUGUGUUUUUUCCACAUGCUUACGCAGAGGUUUGUCAUAGACUGCAGAGAAUAGAAGAGCUGCUGCGCUCGCGUUCCCUGACGCGUUUUCCGCUCACAGUAGAAUAAAGACGCAUAGAUUAUUUUAGCCAACGCUACGUAGUCCAUGAUUGGUUGGGAGCGUCGCGAGCGCAGCUCGUUCCUCGCCUCCCGCUGGCGGCACUUGUGGAGCCGACUGUUCACAAAUCGUGUCCUUAGUAAAGUUUCGCUGUUCAAAAUUGGAAAUGGCUUCCAUGACAACUAUCGCGUCUGCGGAAGCCUGUUUAGAGAGCCAAGAUGACUUUGUCCCUGCGGUUAAAGAAUUCCGAAACUGGAAAGAAAAAGUAGCCCUGCAGAAGAAGGCAGAGUUCCUCCGAAAUGCAGAGAAGUUUAAGAAACAAAUUGACAUUCUUGAAAAAGAGAGGAGCCUGAAUAUUCGGAAUAAGAGAAAUGCUUUCAGAAACGGCUUCGAGGAGCUGGAAGAAUUGGAAAGUGCGCUUCAAAAAGACAGGAGGACUGAGAGUAAGGAACGUUUUAACAUUUGAAAUUUUAUUCAGUUCAGUUUCCAUGUGCUUGUCCUGGGAUGGGUCACCAUCAGUUUUAGUGUUUAUUCCCAGGAGUGGCUUUAUA
rnacentral:lncRNA from 1 species